rnacentral:sRNA from 1 species
CUCGGAGCUCCGGGCACUCAGACAUCAUGAGUUGGUCCUUGAACCCCCGGAAUUUAAUUCUCUACCUUUAUGCUCUUUUAUUUCUCUCUUCAACAUGUGUGGCAUAUGUUGCUACCAGAGACAACUGCUGCAUCUUAGAUGAAAGAUUCGGUAGUUAUUGUCCAACUACCUGUGGCAUUGCAGAUUUCCUGUCUACUUAUCAAACCAAAGUAGACAAGGAUCUACUGUCUUUGGAAGACAUCUUACAUCAAGUUGAAAACAAAACAUCAGAAGUCAAAGAGCUGAUAAAAGCAAUCCAACUCAGUUAUAAUCCUGAUGAACCAUCAAAACCAAAUACGAUAGACUCUGCUACUCUGAAGUCCAGGAAAAUGUUAGAAGAAAUUAUGAAAUAUGAAGCAUUGAUUUUAACACAUGACUCAAGUAUUCGGUAAGGAUUUUUGUUUUAAUUUGCUCUGCAAGACUGAUUUAGUUUUUAUUUAAUAUUCUAUACUUGAGUGAAAGUAAUUUUUAAUGUGUUUUCCCCAUUUAUAAUAUCCCAGUGACAUUAUGCCUGAUUAUGUUGAGCAUAGUAGAGAUAGAAGUUUUUAGGCCAAUAUAAAUUAUACUGGAUUAUAAUUGCUUAUUAAUAAUCACAUUGAAGAAAGAUGUUCUAGAUGUCUUCAAAUGCUAGUUUGACCAUAUUUAUCGAAAAUUUUUUCCCCGUCCCCCAUUUAUCUUACAACAUAAAAUCAAUCUCAUAGGAAUCUGGGUGUUGAAAAUAAAAUCCUCUUUAUAAAAAUGUUGACAAAUUGGUGGUUAAAAAAAUUAGCAAGCAGAGGCAUAGUAAGGAUUUUGGCUCCUAAAGUAAAUUAUAUUGAAUGUGGAGCAGGAAGAAACAUGUCUUGAGAGACUAAGUGUAGCAAACAUUGCAAAGCUCAUGUUGAUCAUUGCAGAAUGAACCUGCAUAGUCUCUUCCCUUCAUUUGGAAGUGAAUGUCUCUGUUAACAGCUUCUCAGGG